rnacentral:misc_RNA from 1 species
AAGUCGUAACAAGGUUUCCGUAGGUGAACCUGCGGAAGGAUCAUUAACGAAAAGAGUGUGGUUGUGGUUGUGUGUGGGGGGUGGGUGUGGUUGUGGUGUGUAUUAUAAACAUUGUUUGUGUACAUAUCAUGUUCAACACACACACAUACACACACAUAUCACAACAUUACACAAUAUAAAAGCGCAGAGGGAAACCUUUUGUGCGGUCAGUUACAACGGAAGUGGUAAUUGGCCAGGUGAGAAGAGUUGGUAAUAUAAGCAGCGGCUUAUGUUACACAUAAAACCAGGAUGAUUAGUUUGACUAAAGUAAAAAGGGAAAUAGUAAAAAACUUUUAACAAUGGAUCUCUUGGCUCUU